UGAGGAAUAUUGGACAAUGGGGGAAACCCUGAUCCAGCAAUGCCGCGUGAGUGAAGAAGGCCUUCGGGUUGUAAAGCUCUUUUACAGGUGAAGAUAAUGACGGUAACCUGAGAAUAAGCUCCGGCUAACUUCGUGCCAGCAGCCGCGGUAAUACGAAGGGAGCUAGCGUUGUUCGGAAUUACUGGGCGUAAAGGGUGCGUAGGCUGUUUAAUAAGUUAGAUGUGAAAGCCUCGGUUUCAAGCUGAGAAUAGCAUUUAAUACUGUUAGACUAGAGGAUAAGAGAGGAUAGUGGAAUUCUGAGUGUAGAGGUAAAAUUCGUAGAUAUUCGGAGGAACACCAGAGGCGAAAGCGUCUAUCUGGAUUAAUCCUAACGCUGAGGCACGAAAGUAUGGGGAGCAAA
rnacentral:rRNA from 1 species